UUGACAGGCAGCAGUCUCCAGGAGAUACAAAUGCAACUCUGACGAACAUCAUUUUUCAGCUGGAAUGGAAGGGUAUGAACAAUCCAGUGACAACAAGAAAAAGCACGUUUUCAUCAUUACUUUUCUCCUGGAUAUG